GCUGGGUCAGCGACUGCAGUGGAGAUAUUUGAGACCGUCCAAAUGAUUAAAUGUGUCUUCCUUGCGCUGGCCCUGGCUCCGCGUGCCCUUUGCCAGCUGCAGCUGGUGGCCUCUGGCCCGGGAUUGGGGAAGGUCUCCGAGCCCCUCACACUGACCUGUGCUGUCUCUGGAGUCUCCAUCGCUUCUCAGGAUUACAUCUGGUGGUGGGUUCGGCAGUUUCCUGGAGAAGGGCUGGAAUCCAUGGGAGGGACAUAUCCAUAUACCGGGGACACGCGCUACGCCCCGUCUCUCCAAGGCCGGAUCACCAUCUCCGCAGACACCACCAGCAACCAGUUCUUCCUGCAGCUCCACUCCUUGACAGCUGCAGACUCCGCCACCUAUUACUGUGCAAGGAGACACACGGUGACACGGAGACAGGGGGCCUGGGACAAAAGGGGGUGA